ACUCCUACGGGAGGCAGCAGUAGGGAAUAUUGGUCAACGGAGGCAAAUCUGAACCAGCCAUGCCGCGUGCAGGAAGACCGCCCUAUGGGUUGUAAGAAGGCCUUGUACGGGAAGAAACCUUCGAAUGCGUUCGAAAAUGACGGUACCUUGAGAAUAAGGAUCGGCUAACUUCGUGCCAGCAGCCGCGGUAAU
rnacentral:rRNA from 1 species